rnacentral:rRNA from 1 species
UACGGAGGGGGCCAGCGUUGUUCGGAAUUACUGGGCGUAAAGCGUGCGCAGGCGGUUUUGUAAGUCUGACGUGAAAUCCCCGGGCUCAACCUGGGAAUUGCGUUGGAGACUGCAAGGCUGGAGUCUGGCAGAGGGGGGUAGAAUUCCACGUGUAGCAGUGAAAUGCGUAGAGAUGUGGAGGAACACCGAUGGCGAAGGCAGCCCCCUGGGUCAAGACUGACGCUCAUGCACGAAAGCGUGGGGAGCAAACAGG